rnacentral:rRNA from 1 species
GAUGAACGCUGGCGGCGUGCCUAAUACAUGCAAGUCGAGCGAACGGACGAGAAGCUUGCUUCUCUGCUGUUAGCGGCGGGCGGGCGAGUAACACGUGGAUCACCUACUUCUAUGACUGGGAUAACUUCGGGAAACCGGAGCUAAUACUGGCUAAUAUUUUGAACCGCAUGGUUCAAAAGUGAAAGACGGUCUUGGUGUCACAUAUAGCCGGUUCCGCGCUGCAUUAGCUAGUUGGUAAGGUAACGGCUUACCAAGGCAACGAUGCAUAGCCGACCUGAGAGGGUGAUCGGCCACACUGGAACUGAGACACGGUCCAGACUCCUACGGGAGGCAGCAGUAGGGAAUCUUCCGCAAUGGGCGAAAGCCUGACGGAGCAACGCCGCGUGAGUGAUGAAGGUCUUCGGAUCGUAAAACUCUGUUAUUAGGGAAGAACAUAUGUGUAAGUAACUGUGCACAUCUUGACGGUACCUAAUCAGAAAGCCACGGCUAACUACGUG